rnacentral:rRNA from 1 species
CCUACGGGUGGCAGCAGUGGGGAAUAUUGGACAAUGGGGGGAACCCUGAUCCAGCCAUGCCGCGUGUGUGAAGAAGGCCCUCGGGUUGUAAAGCACUUUCAGUGAGGAAGAACGCCUGGUGGUUAAUACCCAUCAGGAAAGACAUCACUCACAGAAGAAGCACCGGCUAACUCCGUGCCAGCAGCCGCGGUAAUACGGAGGGUGCGAGCGUUAAUCGGAAUUACUGGGCGUAAAGCGCGCGUAGGUGGCUUGAUAAGCCGGUUGUGAAAGCCCCGGGCUCAACCUGGGAACGGCAUCCGGAACUGUCAAGCUAGAGUGCAGGAGAGGGAGGUAGAAUUCCCGGUGUAGCGGUGAAAUGCGUAGAGAUCGGGAGGAAUACCAGUGGCGAAGGCGGCCUUCUGGACUGACACUGACACUGAGGUGCGAAAGCGUGGGUAGCAAACAGGAUUAGAACCCUAGUAGUC